AUGGCGUCAACGCAGCUUUGGAGAGAGGAGGAAAAAAAAGCGAAAAUAGGAUUUGCAGCCGAUCUGAUGACAGAAGCAAGAAAUCGGAUCUUUCGAGGCGUUCGCGGACGCGCGGCGGAGGUCCGCGGCGGUGCAGAGCGCGUCUCCGGUGCGUCGCAGGGUCGCUGGUCACUCGGGGAGCCGCACAGCGCCGAGAGCCCUCGUAAAUCCGCUGCUCGCUCGGUUAGGGGAGGAGGGGUGAGCGGCGACUGUUACUGCAGUCAAAACAAGCCCGCAUCCGACUGCGAGCCCAAAUCCUGCGAGGAAACGUCGACAGGAGCGCGCUCGGAGCCGUCAGCGCCGCAGACGAGGCGCCAGAAGCAGGAGAAGCUGGUGGACGAUCGACCUCCGUCGCCGGUCGAGGUUCCUCUCUCUCUCUCUCUCUCUCUCUCUCUCUUUCUCUCUUUCUCUCUCUCUUUCCGUGUCCGUCUCUCCGCUUUUCCGAUCGGUGAAUGUCAGGUCCCGGAGCCUGGUGUCUGGUAAUGAUCUCACCCAGCAGACUGAAAGCUCUGGCCGAGCAGAGCGGAGCGGAGCGGAGCGGCGCAGAGAGAGGAGCGAGCGGGAGAGGAGGAGCGACAUCGCCUCCACCUGGCAGAAAGCGCGCUCAGCGCAGCCUCCCCUCAUUCCCAGGGCCGUCUCCCGUGGGACUGCUCUUACUGGCAUACUCUUAUUAUAACGUAUCCUAAUGCAAAGUGGGGAAGCGACAUCUGGCUGGAGGCUCCUUGUUUCCACUGAGUCACUGCUGGAAGAGUGGACAUGAAUGAAUGACUUAUUUUGACACGCAGACAUAAUAAACUGUGUUCACUUUUCA
rnacentral:lncRNA from 1 species